rnacentral:sRNA from 1 species
AACGGACCUGUGACCUGUGAACCUAGCAAAUCAUGCAGUUGGAGAACUGGAUCGACUGGCAUUCUCGGCAGUUCUGUGGCCUAUAUAUACAUAACCUCUGAUGAUCUCCGCCGAUAUCUCGAUCAACGUCACUUCACGCAAGUUCCAUCCAAUUCUCCGCAGGUUAAACAACUCCAGUAACGCCAGAAAAACAAGAAAAGCUAGGAGGAAAAUAUCAAAAACACCCGAAAACCCAUAAUACCACCUGGUGGACCAUCCGUCCGACAACGCCCGGGGCGACCCUGGACAAAAAGACAAAGAUAUAUGGAGUUGAAAUGUCGUGUAUGAGUUGGGUAUGUUCAUGGAGUCGGUUAAUCUUCAAAUCGUUAUAUACAUGUUCACGUCGGCUGAUAUAAUUAAUAUACAAACUCCUGUGGUUUGGUCGUUGAUCAUUUUUUCACGUUCCAAAAAAAAAAAAAAAAAAGAAAGAAAGAAAGAAAGAAAGAAAAAAUCACGCUGAUAUCGGCUAUAAUUCACAUUAGCAAUGCAACCGUGGAGCAACUUUCUCAACCACUGGAACGGUGUCGAUGAAGGUGUGGGCAAAUUGAACGAAUCGAUAAACAUCGGCAAAGUUGGACAUGAGCCCAAGCGAGAUGCGGAUACCCCCGCCAGAGGGUAGUCCCAUAUCAUCCAAGAAGUCGUCCCAGGCUUUCUUGUGACCACUAUGCAUCUCCAUUUCUGCCUCGCCAUUGAACGCGUUGACAAGAACCUUCUGGGUGAGACGGAGGGCAGCUUCUCCGGCACCAGGAUUGCAGAAACAGCCCGUGCGCAAGGAAAUAUUAACAGCAGACGAAAGUUUCUCGACGAUACGCUCAUCGACCACUUCACCCGUGGGUGUUAUGAAAUUGAAUGUUAUGGUUCCGCCGCGUCGAUGUGUGUUGGGCGCUCCGUAGAGCUUGACGACCGCAACACCGUUAGAGUGGCGGAGGGCAAGCAUCUCUUUUAUCACCCAAUCUGUUAAACACACAACGCGCUCAUGGAUAGUCUCCAUUCCAAUUCUCGCUAGAUGGUUGAGGCCGAUGUGCACGGCUGGGAGAUUCAGGUAGUUGAUUGUACCAUCCUCAAAAGCUUCGUGGCCCUCCAAGAGGACGUGUCCGUCGGCCUGAACAGAGCUACCCCAGACAGUGCCGCCAGCAAACCAUGGCCUUUUCAAAUGUGUCAAUGCCUCCCUGCGAGCAAUUAGGCACCCCGCACCGGUCGGAUAUCCAAACAUCUUGUAGAAUGAUAUGGGUACAAAAUCAGGAUGCCAGCGAGAGAGGUCCAAACGGUUAGUCGGAACAAAAGCAGCAGCAUCGAGCAUAACAUGGCACCCCUGUUCGUGGGCCUUGUCAAUCCACUCGAGUGGAUGUUGGAUACCUGAGAAGUUUGACUGGGCAGGAUAGAUAAAUAGGCGGGAGUUGCUAAUUUUCUCAUCUUUGGGAAGAAGAGCGUUUUCGACCACUGCCUCGUCGGCGCGCAGCUCAUCCGACGACACUGGAAUAUAUGAGAUGGUGGCACCUUUGGAUCGAGCAUAUUCACGAAUCCCAUGAGCAGAAUUAUGGUUGUCCCAUAGCAACAUGACUUCUGCACCUGGGCAGAAGGGAUAUGAUUCACCCACCAAUUUCAUAGCGGCAGAUGCGUUAUGUGUGAAGACAACGGCAUACUCGUCAGGGGAUGCAUUGAAGAAAGAUAAGACCCGUGCUCGAGCCUGCUCGUCCAGCUCCGUGAUGGCGCUAGAAGUUGGGUUGAGGGAGUGCGGGUUCCCAAAAAUAUUUCGGGCGAGGAGCUCAUGAUGUGCUCGCAGCUGAGAGUCUGCAUAAAGUCCUCCACCUGUAUAGUCCAAAUAGAUGUGGCCCUCUCCGUCAAGAGUGGGAUAAUCUGUUGCACGCAGGUGAUCUAUUUUGGAAGUGUCGUCGAAUGUUGAAUUUGAUUUUCGGAAGAGACGUUCUGCCUUUUCGAGGGAUUUUUGUUUUUUCUUCUUUAUCAGAGUCUUGAACCUCUUCUUCGGAGAUAGCCUGGAGGGCGAUGGUAAAGAGUGAGAAGGAGGAGCCAAGAUCUUCUUCGCCCGCCUUCGGACCACAUCGCCCAACUCGUUCGUAUGACUGGCAACAAUGCUGGUACAAGAACCCAUAUCUAGGAACUAUGAACGAGGACGAGGUAUGGAAAUAGUGAGGUGGAAGAAAAGCGAAAAAAAAUUGAAGGAAAAAUUUUUUUUCAGGAGAUGAAUCGGCUUGACAUUUAAUAUGUUUAUCAAGCUGACGUGCUUAC